rnacentral:lncRNA from 9 species
CUGCCUUUGUCCCCAGGGCAAGGCCAGGAUUACAUUCAGGGCAAAGGUCCAGGGGCACAACACAGCAUUGUGAUGCAACAGAGAUGACGGCAGAGCAGCAGAAAGCUGGAGCCCAAAUCAAGGCUCCCCAGUUUCCACAACCUAGAGAAGAGUGCCUUUCUGGCCCAUCAUGAUGCUACAAGCAACAGACAUCCUCUAAUUUGGUAACUUGUCUAGGCAAAUACAAUACAUUAUUGCAACAGCUAAAAAAGUAUUUGGACUCGCAGUUCAAAUGGAGCCAAGACACAGAGCUGGGGUCUCCACUGGUGCCCAAGGCCUGCCCAGAGACUACUAGAACCCAAUGUCACAGGAGGCACACCCAGAUUCUUGUACUCAUGUUACCUAAACCUGAAACCCUCAAAGUACUUAAAGAGAUGUCAGCAAAAGAGCUAUUUGUGGUUUUCACUUGCUUUUAUUUAAGUCAACUUUACCAUACAGCUCAGACUGGAGUUGCUGAGGAUCUGGUACACUCACAGUGUUCAAAAUCAUGCUGUUCUUGGCAUGAACCAGGUAUAUCUUAGUUUCAUUUUUUCUUAGGACAAUUUCUUUCCCAAGGAUCUCAUUGGUCACUAAUGCAAAUAGACAGCUGAGGAGCCUGAGCUUUCA